UCCGGUUUGUCACCGGCAGUCCCCCAUGAGUCCCCGGCAUUACCCGCUGGCAACACGGGGCGGGGGUUGCGCUCGUUGCGGGACUUAACCCAACACCUCACGGCACGAGCUGACGACAGCCAUGCACCACCUGUGAAGGUGCCCCGAAGGGAGACCGUGUUUCCACGGCUGUCACCUACAUGUCAAGCCCAGGUAAGGUUCUUCGCGUUGCGUCGAAUUGAACCACAUGCUCCGCUGCUUGUGCGGGUCCCCGUCAAUUCCUUUGAGUUUUAGCCUUGCGGCCGUACUCCCCAGGCGGGGCACUUACCGCGUUAGCUCCGGCAUGGAAGGAGUCGACACCUCCCACACCUAGUGCCCAUCGUUUACGGCGUGGACUAC
rnacentral:misc_RNA from 1 species